GAUGAAGAACGCAGCGAAAUGCGAUAAGUAAUGCGAAUUGCAGAAUCCGUGAAUCAUCGAAUCUUUGAACGCACAUUGCGCCCGCCAGUAUUCUGGCGGGCAUGCCUGUUCGAGCGUCAUUACAACCCUCAGGCCCCCGGGCCUGGCGUUGGGGAUCGGCGGAAGCCCCCUGCGGGCACAACGCCGUCCCCCAAAUACAGUGGCGGUCCCGCCGCAGCUUCCAUUGCGUAGUAGCUAACACCUCGCAACUGGAGAGCGGCGCGGCCACGCCGUAAAACACCCAACUUCUGAAUGUUGACCUCGAAUCAGGUAGGAAUACCCGCUGAACUUAAGCAUAUCAAUAAGCGGAGGA
rnacentral:misc_RNA from 1 species